AGAGCAAACUCCAUUUGCAGAAGUACUUUUGACUUGGGUUGAAACCAAACUGGAUGUGGAAAAUUUCUUUCAAACUCCAUAGGUAGUGAUGGGGAAUGAGAAAAAAAGAAAUAAUCUUUUAUAGGCUUAGGGUUUGCAUUUAACUGAGAUUAUUUUUCUGUGCCUGUCAGUUUAUUGUGCUGUGGGUUAUUUUCUAGCUAGGUCAGUGGUUUGUGGGUAUCUAGUCAAAUGAGUGGUAAACUCUUGCUCUGAAUGCAAUGCUUCAACACAGUUCCCUGGAUUUACACUGAUAUAAACCUCUUGGAAAUUGUGCUUUCUCUGCGGACCUAACAGAGGUUACAAACAGUACUUCUGAAAUCAGCAUUUAAAUAACAUUUCAAAACCACUAGAAACCUCAUUAUCCUGAAUAUAUAGUUUUAGUAGUCUUACAAGCAGUGAAAAUGCAGCGAACCAAAAGUGCAACUUGUAACUGGGCAAAAGCAACACUACUGCCUAAAUACUAUGCUGAUAAACAUCCAAUUAACCACUAGGUACCCUGACAUAUCAGUGUGUUUGCUGAAGCUUGGUAAGUGUGGGGACACCCUGAACCAUAUAAUGGAGGUGUGCCUACAUCCUUGCAGAACCUCAGCCCUCUUCUAGUCUUCACCAUAUGAUGACAUUGUACCAAGAUAUCUGCUGUCUAUGCAACCUGUUUCUGGAAACAAAGAGUUUGACUUGGUGGACCCUAAUGAUGGUGUUUAAAAAAGCACCCUCAUAUCUGCCAGGUACAGAUUAAGUGUGAUGGCAUAAGAUGUGACAAGGCCUGGACUUUGCAUGGAGGUUGAUGAGGUGUGGGCACACCUACCCUUCUCCCCAGCAUCUCUUGGGUAGGUACCAAGCAUCUGGCAGGGGUGAUACUUUCUGCAGUGCUCUUGGACACUGGAAGUACUUUAACUUCAAAGACAUCAUGCCCAGCGAGGUGGGGCUCCUCAUCUGGGUGAAACACCUGCCCGUGUGUAAUCACAGCCCCUCUGUUUUAGUGAGGUCUCUCUCACAUGCCCUCCCUAUUUCUAUGGAACGGGUUUUGCCCUUUUUAUUUAUUUAUUUAUUUGGUAAUUGAUGUUUUGUCUUUUGUUCUCUUUUUCUUCAGGGCCAGAUGGCAACCCAAGACCUAUCCCUCCUACUUAUCCCAGUGACUCUUUGGCACCAGAGGAAAAAACUUCUGCAAGAAGCCUGUUUCUACAGUCUCUAAACUCCAGAGACUAGACAACAGUUUUUCUAUCUUCUUUGCUGUAGUUUAUUUCUUUACCCUCCCUCCUAUGUGUUUUACUAAUUCUUUGUUUUUCCCAUCUCCUUUACCAGCACUUUCUGUAGGCUGCAUUUUUUUUUUUCCUUCUGUGUAAAGCAGCAUGAUUCACGGGAUAUGCCUUUGUAGCUCCUGCUUAGGGACCUCUCCUGGUUCCUCACCUUAUGUUCUCCACUGAUCAGAGCCAUUGGUGUUUAGAUGCUCAGCAGAGGUGAUUGCACAGCCUUUGACACCUCACAUCCCCUGCUGCCUGGAUUUGAAAGAGUAAAGCAACUUCUGGAUUGUUUCAAAUGCGCUGGCAACAUAAAUAGCAACAGUUUUCCAGAUGAAGAAAUGUAUGUGGGAUAUGUUAAAUGACACUUCUCUGUGUGCUAUGAUUCAGUGGGUCUCCAGCAUCAGCAAACUGAUCAGAAACUUCAGGACUGAGCCAACACUUCCAAAAUUAGUGGGCCUUAUUUUGAGGGUGGCCCUGGUCGCAACGUGUGCCCUGUGAAGACCGGCAGUUUGAGGAGCACCGGGCUGUAGCUCAUGUUUACUUAUCUGAGUUUCAUUGCUUCAGCCAGUCCCAUGACAAA